rnacentral:rRNA from 1 species
AACGGCCAUACCAUACUGAAUAUAUCGGUUCUCGUUAGAUCACUGAAGUCAAGCAUCAUUGGGCGCGGUCAGUACUUGGGUGGGUGACCACCUGGGAACACCGCGUGCCGUUG